rnacentral:rRNA from 1 species
AGAGUUUGAUCCUGGCUCAGGGCGAACGCUAGCGGCGCGCCUAACACAUGCAAGUCGUGCGGGAAAGGGCUUCGGCCCUAGUACCGCGGCAGACGGGUGAGUAACACGUGAGCAACCUGUCCCCGGGUCUGGGAUAACCACCCGAAAGGGUGGCUAAUACCGGAUAAAGUCACCGGGCGCAAGCUCGGUGAUGAAAGGGGGCCUCUGCAUAGCAAGCUCCUGCCUGGGGAGGGGCUCGCGGCCCAUCAGCUAGUUGGUGGGGUAACGGCCCACCAAGGCUAUGACGGGUAGCCGGCCUGAGAGGGUGGUCGGCCACACGGGCACUGAGACACGGGCCCGACUCCUACGGGAGGCAGCAGUGGGGAAUCUUGGGCAAUGGGCGAAAGCCUGACCCAGCGACGCCGCGUGGGGGAAGAAGGCCUUCGGGUCGUAAACCCCUGUUCUGGGGGAAGAACCCUGAACGGGUUAAUAGCCCGUUCAGGCUGACGGUACCCCAGGAGGAAGCCACGGCUAACUGCGUGCCAGCAGCCGCGGUAAUACGCAGGUGGCGAGCGUUGCCCGGAAUCACUGGGCGUAAAGGGUGCGUAGGCGGCAGGGCAAGUCGCGGGUUAAAGCCCGGGGCUCAACCCCGGAAAGGCCUGCGAUACUGCCUUGCUUGAGGGCCGGAGAGGCUGGCGGAAUUCCCGGCGUAGGGGUGAAAUCCGUAGAUAUCGGGAGGAACACCGGUGGGGAAGCCGGCCAGCUGGACGGUUCCUGACGCUGAGGCACGAAAGCGUGGGGAGCAAACCGGAUUAGAUACCCGGGUAGUCCACGCCGUAAACGAUGGGUGCUAGGUCUGGGGAGGAAACUCUCUGGGCCGAAGCUAACGCGUUAAGCACCCCGCCUGGGGAGUACGGCCGCAAGGCUGAAACUCAAAGGAAUUGACGGGGGCCCGCACAAGCGGUGGAGCACGUGGUUUAAUUCGAUGCAAAGCGAAGAACCUUACCUGGGCUUGACAUGCCAGGGUUGUACCCCGGUGGAAACACUGGGGGAGCGUGGGUUUUUACUCACGCGCUCUGGCACAGGUGCUGCAUGGCUGUCGUCAGCUCGUGCCGUGAGGUGUUGGGUUAAGUCCCGCAACGAGCGCAACCC